UAGGAUUUCUGGUAGACAGACAGGCAAGC
rnacentral:piRNA from 1 species